AUACGAAGGGUGCAAGCGUUAAUCGGAAUUACUGGGCGUAAAGCGCGCGUAGGUGGUUUUGUAAGUUGGAGGUGAAAGCCCCGGGCUCAACCUGGGAAUUGCCUCCAAAACUGCAUGACUAGAGUACGGUAGAGGGUAGUGGAAUUUCCUGUGUAGCGGUGAAAUGCGUAGAUAUAGGAAGGAACACCAGUGGCGAAGGCGACUACCUGGACUGAUACUGACACUGAGGUGCGAAAGCGUGGGGAGCAAACAGGAUGAGAUACCCUGGUAGUCCACGCCGUAAACGAUGUCAACUAGCCGUUGGGAUCCUUGAGAUCUUAGUGGCGCAGCUAACGCAUUAAGUUGACCGCCUGGGGAGUACGGCCGCAAGGUUAAAACUCAAAUGAAUUGACGGGG
rnacentral:rRNA from 1 species